CCUACGGGAGGCAGCAGUGGGGAAUAUUGCACAAUGGGGGAAACCCUGAUGCAGCGACGCCGCGUGAGUGAAGAAGUAAUUCGUUAUGUAAAGCUCUAUCAGCAGGGAAGAAAAUGACGGUACCUGAGUCAGAAGCCCCGGCUAACUACGUGCCAGCAGCCGCGGUAAUACGUCGGGGGCAAGCGUUAUCCGGAUUUACUGGGUGUAAAGGGAGCGUAGACGGCAGUGCAAGUCUGGAGUGAAAGGCGGGGGCUCAACCCCCGGACUGCUCUGGAAACUGUACGGCUGGAGUGCAGGAGAGGUAAGUGGAAUUCCUAGUGUAGCGGUGAAAUGCGUAGAUAUUAGGAGGAACACCAGUGGCGAAGGCGGCUUACUGGACUGUAACUGACGUUGAGGCUCGAAAGCGUGGGGAGCAAACAGGAUUAGAUACCCUGGUAGUC
rnacentral:rRNA from 1 species